rnacentral:rRNA from 1 species
GAGGUGGCAAGCGUUGUCCGGAAUUAUUGGGGCGUAAAGCGCGCGCAGGCGGUUCUUUAAGUCUGAUGUGAAAGCCCACGGGCUCAACCGUGGAGGGUCAUUGGAAACUGGAGAACUUGAGUACAGAAGAGGAAAGCGGAAUUCCACGUGUAGCGGUGAAAUGCGUAGAGAUGUGGAGGAACACCAGUGGCGAAGGCGGCUUUCUGGUCUGUAACUGACGCUGAGGCGCGAAAGCGUGGGGAGCAAACAGGAUUAGAUACCCUGGUAGUCCACGCCGUAAACGAUGAGUGCUAAGUGUUAGGGGGUUUCCGCCCCUUAGUGCUGCAGCUAACGCAUUAGGCACUCCGCCUGGGGAGUACGGCCGCAAAGGCUGA